rnacentral:rRNA from 1 species
CCGUCCCGGUUUAAGCGUGUAGGCGUGCCCCUUAGGCAAAUCCGGGGGGCUGAGCUGAGGCGUGAUGACGAGGAACCACGGUUCCGAAGUGAUUGAUACCAAGCUUCCAGGAAAAGCCACUAAGCUUCAGUCUAGAGUUGACCGUACCGCAAACCGACACAGGUGGGCAGGAUGAAAAUUCUAAGGCGCUUGAGAGAACUCAGGAGAAGGAACUCGGCAAAUUAACACCGUAACUUCGGGAGAAGGUGUGCCCCGGUAGCGUGUAGAGACUUGCUCUCGAAGCGCGAUGGGGUUGCAGUGAAAUGGUGGCUGCGACUGUUUAAUAAAAACACAGCACUCUGCAAACACGAAAGUGGACGUAUAGGGUGUGACGCCUGCCCGGUGCCGGAAGGUUAAGUGAUGGGGUGCAAGCUCUUGAUCGAAGCCCCGGUAAACGGCGGCCGUAACAAUAACGGUCCUAAGGUAGCGAAAUUCCUUGUCGGGUAAGUUCCGACCUGCACGAAUGGCGUAACGAUGGCCACACUGUCUCCUCCUGGGACUCAGCGAAGUUGAAAUGUUUGUGAAGAUGCAAUCUACCCGCGGCUAGACGGAAAGACCCCAUGAACCUUUACUGUAGCUUUGCAUUGGACUUUGAACCGGUUUGUGUAGGAUAGGUGGGAGACUGUGAAGCCGGGACGCUAGUUUCGGUGGAGUCAACCUUGAAAUACCACCCUGAUUUGUUUGAGGUUCUAACCUUGGUCCGUGAGUCCGGAUCGGGGACCGUGCAUGGUAGGCAGUUUGACUGGGGCGGUCUCCUCCCAAAAGGUAACGGAGGAGUACGAAGGUACGCUUAGGGCGGUCGGACAUCGCCCACAAAGUGCAAUGGCAAAAGCGUGCUUGACUGCGAGACCCACAAGUCGAGCAGGUACGAAAGUAGGUCAUAGUGAUCCGGUGGUUCUGUAUGGAAGGGCCAUCGCUCAACGGAUAAAAGGUACUCUGGGGAUAACAGGCUAAUUCCUCCCAAGAGUUCAUAUCGACGGGGGAGUUUGGCACCUCGAUGUCGGCUCAUCACAUCCUGGGGCUGUAGUCGGUCCCAAGGGUAUGGCUGUUCGCCAUUUAAAGUGGUACGCGAGCUGGGUUUAAAACGUCGUGAGACAGUUUGGUCCCUAUCUGCCGUGGGCGCUGGAAAUUUGAAGGGGGCUGCUCCUAGUACGAGAGGACCGGAGUGGACGAACCUCUGGUGUACCGGUUAUGACGCCAGUCGUAUCGCCGGGUAGCUAAGUUCGGAAGAGAUAAACGCUGAAAGCAUCUAAGCGUGAAACUCGCCUUAAGAUAAGAUUUCCCGGAGUCUUGAACUCCCUGAAGGGUCGUCGAAGACCACGACGUUGAUAGGUCAGGUGUGGAAGCGCAGCAAUGCGUUAAGCUAACUGAUACUAAUUGCCCGUGCGGCUUGAUCC